GCCUUGUGCAAUUUAUUAGUUUGUCAACUAUCCAGUUGAGGAUUGAACCUCGAGAGGGAGAUCCUUGUUUUGUCAACCGGAUACAACCGGGCGUUUCUACAACAGGAUAUUAUUUUUGACUGAUCCCUCUUUAAUGGAAUACUACAGUUUGCUGAUAUGUCUGCUUGAGUCGUAUGCUGUCUUCAUUAUUCGAGAAAAAGUGUCUUUAUAUGGAGCUACGGAAUCAGAUCAAACGAGAAAUAAGUGAUUUUUCAAUACAGACUUCCAGUUCUAUUCUUGGUGUGGACACAUGGAUUAGUUACAUAUGUAGGAUAACAGGUCACAUAUC
rnacentral:lncRNA from 1 species